rnacentral:rRNA from 1 species
CCAGCUCCAAUAGCGUAUAUUAAAGUUGUUGCAGUUAAAAAGCUCGUAGUUGGAUUUCGGGGCAGGAGGUCCGGUCCGCCGAAAGGCAGGUACUGGACGCCAGCCCUUUUUCUCGAAGGCCCCAUCUGCUCUUCAUUGAGUGGUAGGGGAGUUCGGGACGUUUACUUUGAAAAAAUUAGAGUGUUCAAGGCAGGCCGUCGCUUGAAUACGUUAGCAUGGAAUAAUGGAAUAGGACUUCGGUUCUAUUUCGUUGGUUUCUGGGACCGAAGUAAUGAUUAAGAGGGACAGUUGGGGGCAUUCGUAUUCAAUUGUCAGAGGUGAAAUUCUCGGAUUUAUGGAAGACGAACAACUGCGAAAGCAUUUGCCAAGGAUGUUUUCAUUAAUCAAGAACGAAAGUUGGGGGUUCGAAGACGAUCAGAUACCGUCGUAGUCCCAACCAUAAACUAUGCCGACUAGGGAUCGGCGGACGUUAGCGAGUGACUCCGUCGGCACCUUAUGAGAAAUCAAAGUCUUUGGGUUCCGGGGGGAGUAUGGUCGCAAGGCUGAAACUUAAAGGAAUUGACGGAAGGGCACCACCAGGAGUGGAGCCUGCGGCUUAAUUCGACUCAAC